rnacentral:rRNA from 1 species
UAAGCGGACAGUGAAAUUGUGUGGCUCAACCAUACCCACAUUGUCUGAACUGCUAAGCUAGAGUAUAUGAGAGGUAGUUGGAAUUCCUUGUGUAGGAGUGGAAUCCGUAGAUAUAAGGAGGAACACCGAUGGCGUAGGCAGACUACUGGCAUAUUACUGACACUAAGGCACGAAAGCGUGGGAGCGAACAGGAUUAGAUACCCUGGUAGUCCACGCCGUAAACUAUGGAUGCUA